rnacentral:tRNA from 1 species
CAAGACGUAGCUACAACCCAAAGCAUUCAGCUUACACCUGAAAGAUAUCUGNCACCUAUCAGAUCGUCUUGA